UCAUGAUGAGCCCUUUUAGAUGACGAGUCUUAUUCGGCUUUGCCGUUGCUGACACAACCUUUUUUAACCAUUCAUGCAUUCUCUGACC
rfam:Dothistroma septosporum NZE10 unplaced genomic scaffold DOTSEscaffold_4, whole genome shotgun sequence.